UACGUAGGGUGCAAGCGUUAAUCGGAAUCAUUGGGCGUAAAGCGCGCGUAGGCGGCUUCGUAAGUCCGUUGUGAAAGUCCAGGGCUCAACCCUGGAAUGCCGAUGGAUACUGCGGAGCUAGAGUCCGGAAGAGGCGAGUGGAAUUCCUGGUGUAGCGGUGAAAUGCGCAGAUAUCAGGAGGAACACCUAUGGCGAAGGCAGCUCGCUGGGACGGUACUGACGCUGAGGCGCGAAAGCGUGGGGAGCAAACAGG
rnacentral:rRNA from 1 species